rnacentral:rRNA from 1 species
AGAGUUUGAUCCUGGCUCAGAACGAACGCUGGCGGCGUGGAUGAGGCAUGCAAGUCGAACGGGGUUUGGUUUGUUAGCAAUAACGUUCCAAACCUAGUGGCGAAAGGGUGAGUAACGCGUGGGCAACCUGCCCCUAACUCUGGGAUAGCCCGGGGAAACCUGGAUUAAUACCGGAUGUGGUCUUUGGGUGGCAUCUCCCGAAGAUUAAAGUUUUUCGGUUAAGGAGGGGCCCGCGUCCUAUUAGCUUGUUGGUGAGGUAACGGCCCACCAAGGCAAAGAUGGGUAGCCGGACUGAGAGGUUGGUCGGCCACACUGGGACUGAGACACUGCCCAGACUCCUACGGGAGGCUGCAGUCGAGAAUCAUUGUCAAUGGGCGAAAGCCUGAACAUGCGACGCCGCGUGUGCGAUGAAGGCCUUCGGGUUGUAAAGCACUUUCAGCAGGGAAGAAAGCUUCGGUUUGACGGUACCUGCAGAAGAAGCCCCGGCUAAUUACGUGCCAGCAGCCGCGGUAAUACGUAAGGGGCGAGCGUUGUUCGGAUUUACUGGGCGUAAAGGGUGUCUAGGCGGCGCGUCAAGUCGGGAGUGAAAUCCCACGGCUUACCCGUGGAAUUGCUUCCGAAACUGGCGAGCUUGAGUGAGGGAGAGGAUAGCGGAAUUCCCGGUGUAGCGGUGGAAUGCGUAGAUAUCGGGAAGAACACUCGUGGCGAAGGCGGCUAUCUGGACCUUAGCUGACGCUGAAGCACGAAAGCCAGGGGAGCGAACGGGAUUAGAUACCCCGGUAGUCCUGGCCGUAAACGAUGUGCACUUGGUGUAGGAGGUAUCGACCCCUUCUGUGCCGAAGCUAACGCAUUAAGUGCACCGCCUGGGGAGUACGACCGCAAGGUUGAAACUCAAAGGAAUUGACGGGGGCCCGCACAAGCGGUGGAGCAUGUGGUUUAAUUCGAUGCAACGCGAAGAACCUUACCAGGGCUUGACAUGUAGCUGCACGUCCCGUGAAAGCGGGAUUCCUUCGAGGGUGCUACACAGGUGCUGCAUGGCUGUCGUCAGCUCGUGUCGUGAGAUGUUGGGUUAAGUCCCGCAACGAGCGCAACCCUUGUUGCUAGUUGCCAGCACUUCGGGUGGGAACUCUAGCAAGACUGCCGGUGUUAAACCGGAGGAAGGUGGGGAUGACGUCAAGUCAGUAUGGCCCUUACGUCCUGGGCGACACACGUGCUACAAUGGCCGGUACAGAGGGUAGCCAAGCCGCGAGGUGGAGCCAAUCCCAGAAAGCCGGCCCAAGUUCGGAUUGGAGUCUGCAACUCGACUCCAUGAAGUUGGAAUCGCUAGUAACGGCGUAUCAGCCAUGACGCCGUGAAUACGUUCCCGGGCCUUGUACACACCGCCCGUCACAUCACGAAAGCCUACUGUACCCGAAGUCGCUGGUCCAACCCGCAAGGGGGGAAGGCGCCGAAGGUAUGGUCGGUGAUUGGGAUGAAGUCGUAACAAGGUA